AAUGUACUCCCUCCGUCCGAAAAUACUUGUCAUCAAAAUGGAUAAAAAGAGAUGUAUCUAGAACUAAAAUACGUCUAGAUACAUCCCCUUUUAUCCAUUUUGAUGACAAGUAUUUCCGGACGGAGGGAGUACUAG
rnacentral:pre_miRNA from 1 species